ensembl:lncRNA
AUUUGUGUUGUAACAGCCAGCUGCAGGAUGGAGUAUAAACGGAGUAUGUUAAACUAUUUAAAUAUUCCAAAUAUUAUGUACAACAGAUCUUGUACUAAUUCAUUAUGAAAAAAGCAAUUUUGUUUAAUCAUUUAUUAGCUAUUUAUGAGGUGUCUGCAUAUUAAACACAUACAGAUUAUUGUUCAACGUGACAGCCAGUAUAAUGAUUGUGUGUCACCUAUGUGUAACCACUAACACAGUUUUCUUUGGUGUUUUCAGCUACCAGAGUUGCUAGAAUGACUAAAGGUCAUGAUUCUCAAGCAUGUGUAAAAGAGACAACGAGUCUGACCUUCUAAGAAAAAGAAGAAUUUUCAAAACAAUGCUCAAAUUUUAACAUAAGUUUGUUAUUCACUCCUGGAUUAUAUACCACUUUCCUCAUAGAGGCAGUGAAGCAGGUUGCCCAGCAACCCUGCAGAAUCUCUGUCCUUGGAAGUAUUCAAGGCCCAACCACCCACAGCCUGAGAAACAUCCGGUUGGAGCCCAGCACUGACACAUACCUGUGCAAGAGAUUAGACCAGAGCCCUUUCAAAGGACUCUUCCAACAUGAAUUUCCCUGUGACUUGCCAUGGAGUCACCUUGGGACACCAAGCAGAAUGUUGUUUGCUUGCAAGGGUGAGAAUGAAUUUUCCCUCUUCAAACUGCUUGCACUUUGUUUAAUGGAAGGACAACAACUGGUAAAAUGAAGUGGGAGAUAAAGGCAGAAAAUUGUGAAAAGCCAGAAUCUUAAGUCACACAUGACUACCUGUGGGCAUUGAAUAACAUGGCACAGUAUGGCAGUCAGAAUGAGUAUAGCUUAAGCAAUAGCAGUAGCAAUUAACGUAAGGUUUUGAGGGAUUAAUGACACAUUGAAAGAAGCUGAUAGUUUGCAGUAAUCAAGAGAGCUCAUCUAGCUAUUAAUUGCUAGGAAGACCUGCACUGAAUUCUUCAUUGCUAUUAGAAACUGAAAUUGAUAGAGAAAAUGAUUCUUCUUCUAUUUUUAUUUAUUUUUUUUUUUUUCAGUCUGUUCCUGUCACCUGAAUAUGUUUCCAACAUAGCAGUGUAAUUUGUAGGGUUCUUUGUGGGAAAAUGGACUCUGUAGAGGCAUUUCUUUUAUAGUAGCUUUGCAUACAGACAGGCAUGACAAUAAGAAGGGUCUAGUGUCUCAGAUACCAUCUAUUAUUGUAAUUCCAAAGGCUUAAUGCCUCUCUUACAUCAGUGAAUGACUUGGCCCUUGCUGCAAAAUAAUUAGUUAAAUUAUUAGAGCUCUCUAGAAAACAUAUCACUUUGGAAAUGCAGUUGCAUAAGGAAAUAGCUAGUUGGAAUGUGGACUAUCCUUUUCUUUACGGAACUUUGAAAGAUAAAUGCAUUACAGUUAGUGGCUAUUUAUUUAUUUGCUUAUUUAUUUUUACAAUGGAAACACUGUCAUUUCUAAAAUGAUGUGUUUCUGCUCAUAAAAAUGUUUCCAUAUCAUCUUGCCUGGCACCCCAAAGUGAGCUCUUGUCUUUUCAUACAUGUUGGUACUCUGAAAAUGUAGUUUGAUGCGAACAGCCAUAGUCCGUGUCCUUCUUUUGACACCGCUGCAUCUAUGCUGUCUUAAACGAACUUACAUCCAUAGGAAAUGUGAAAUUAUAUUGUCUGUAGCAUUAAUUUGUAUAAGAUUAACUUCCAAAAGCCCUUUACCUGAAGUUUAGAAUGAACUGUUCC